GAAAGAACAGAGCAGAUCAUUUAACACCUCCUGAGAACAUGAAGAGCAGCUCUGUGACUUUUUGCUUGGGCCUCGUCAUCAUCAUGGCACUUUACUCUAGUGCAAUCCCUCAUAGCUUUGAUACCAGACCGUGCUGUUUCAAUUUCCAAGAAAAAAUAAUUAAUCCUAAAGGAAUCCUGAAAGUGAUGAAGACAGACUCACGCUGUUCAAAGCAAGGCUUCAUUGUUAAGAUGCUUAAGAGGGAUGUGUGUGUCCUGGAAAACCCCCAAAAAUAAAUGAAAACUACUAAAAUCGAAUCGAACAAACUUUAUUAAUGGAACAAACUGUUGAUGCUUAAUGAAUAAAAAUGCAAUAAUGAUAUAACAAU